AUGCUAAAGAAAAUUCUCUAAGUUACUGAAUGCUGGAAGAGAAGACCAGUCUCAGUAGUAUUUAAAUAUAGUGAUAUUUUGAUCGGAGAUUCUAUUCAUGACCCUAAACACUUGUGGUUUUCUUACUUUUAAAAAGACUUUUUAAAUUACUUGACUUGUAAUGAGCUGUUACAUUGAUCUUCUUAAAGCAGAAGUGGUAGUAUCUAAGCAGAACAGUAGAAAAGCUGCUAGCAGUAAGACAUGAAAAUUACAGCCUAAGUAUGCAUAAUACAUUCAUGAAUACAGUUUUUAAAGGAGCCAUUAGUUAAUUUUACUACUUUGUAUUGCUUACAGAAUUACAAAUCUGGUUUUGAAUAGGAAACAGACUUAAAAGCUGGCAAAGAAAAUAAAGAGCACUUGUUAGAGACCAUAAGAAAUAGGGGUUUUAAUAUUUUGCCCUAUUUGAGCUGCCAGUCCUAAGGCUUUUGACUUAAAAUACUAUUUAAAGUUCAAUGCAUUUAUGAUACAGUUAGAAUAUAGUAAUGUAGAGCCCAUUCUGGAGAUGCAGUGCUUCAUUAUGUUCAUGUUAAGGAAGGCUGGGAUUGCCUUCACCAGUUCUCGGAAUGUAGCCUGCUGCUUGCAUUUAUACGAGGGGGUGAGUCACAGCCUUCUAUACCAUGAAAACUUUAACGUUACUAUCCAAGUAGUUUAUGAUGUUAAUUUUAUGUAGGUUAGGUGUGAGUAUCUUUUCUUCAUAUUCAAGGGUUAUUUUCCAGCCUAGUUACCAGUGUACUCUGGAAGGAUUGAAAUGCUUUGUACCUACAUGCAAACAACUUGGUAGUUAUCCAAGUAUCAUAAAUAUGUGUCAGAAAAUGAGAGCUUUGUUUCAUUCUGAUUACUGAAGUUCUGGAUCUACUCUUAAGACUUCAGUAACGUUUUCUAUACUGAUUCACUGUAAGAGGGAUACUACAUCCUGUCAACCCCAGAGCUCAGCACGCUGUUGCCCUAUGAAGAGGUGUGCCCAGACUAUUACCAGCAUCGUCUUGGCUGCCUCCUCAUGCUUCAUGUAUGCAUUCAUACAGCAUAUGCUCAGCCACCUUUAUCAUCGAGCUUAUUCUGUGGCUCAGUCUGUUUACCCACUGUCACCUGUGAUAGUAACAUAAGCCUUACCCGAACGUGAGUUUUGCUACCUGAAGUUACUGAUGAAGCUGAAGAAGUUUCAGCUUCCCUGGAGCAGCAGCUGCAGUUAUUCCUCUCUGCAGCUGUAAUUCCUGUGCAUGGAGAAAGAAAGAAAAAUAAAGUGUACACUUUUACCCCUAUUACAGCAGCUGGUUUUGCAGUGGUGUAGGUAUUCCAGAAAAUUCUGUGAUGAAACCAGCUAAACUAGGGAAGGUUUUGGUGUGAACAGGAUACAGUGGAUUGAUAACCAGCUGAAAUGUAAAGAAGAAGUGGAGAAAACCUCAAAGGGAGUUGGUGAAUGGAGGGACUAUGUAGCUAUUGUAUACAAAAGUGCAUGGUGGAUGGAGAGGAGCAAAGUACAAAGAGCACUGCUUGGAAGCCACAGAAAAUAGAAAAGGUUUUGUAUUAACUUUAAGAGCAAUUGCUGAUGAAGUGAGGAACUACUAUGAAGGAGAAGCAGCUGAGUGUUUGGGUUUGCAUGAACCAGUGAUACUAACAGUGUCUGCAGAGAUCAGUAGCAAAGGAAUGGUGCAAGAUUGGCAGAAAUCUGAAGCCCUUCAGUGGGGAAACACAGCUUCACAGGAACGUGUGAACUAACAAUAGUGAAGACUUUUGAACUCUACUUCAGGAAUCAUACACAACUACCACUGAGCAAAGUCCACCAGAUACAAUCCAUGACAAAUACAUAUGGAAUGCUUUUCAUACUUACAGUUAAUAAAAC